AGAGUUUGAUCAUGGCUCAGAUUGAACGCUGGCGGCAGGCCUAACACAUGCAAGUCGAACGGUAACAGGAAGCAGCUUGCUGCUUCGCUGACGAGUGGCGGACGGGUGAGUAAUGUCUGGGAAACUGCCUGAUGGAGGGGGAUAACUACUGGAAACGGUGGCUAAUACCGCAUAACGUCGCAAGACCAAAGAGGGGGACCUUCGGGCCUCUUGCCAUCAGAUGUGCCCAGAUGGGAUUAGCUAGUUGGUGAGGUAACGGCUCACCAAGGCGACGAUCCCUAGCUGGUCUGAGAGGAUGACCAGCCACACUGGAACUGAGACACGGUCCAGACUCCUACGGGAGGCAGCAGUGGGGAAUAUUGCACAAUGGGCGCAAGCCUGAUGCAGCCAUGCCGCGUGUAUGAAGAAGGCCUUCGGGUUGUAAAGUACUUUCAGCGGGGAGGAAGGUGUUGCGGUUAAUAACCGCAGCAAUUGACGUUACCCGCAGAAGAAGCACCGGCUAACUCCGUGCCAGCAGCCGCGGUAAUACGGAGGGUGCAAGCGUUAAUCGGAAUUACUGGGCGUAAAGCGCACGCAGGCGGUCUGUCAAGUCGGAUGUGAAAUCCCCGGGCUCAACCUGGGAACUGCAUUCGAAACUGGCAGGCUUGAGUCUUGUAGAGGGGGGUAGAAUUCCAGGUGUAGCGGUGAAAUGCGUAGAGAUCUGGAGGAAUACCGGUGGCGAAGGCGGCCCCCUGGACAAAGACUGACGCUCAGGUGCGAAAGCGUGGGGAGCAAACAGGAUUAGAUACCCUGGUAGUCCACGCCGUAAACGAUGUCUACUUGGAGGUUGUGCCCUUGAGGCGUGGCUUCCGGAGCUAACGCGUUAAGUAGACCGCCUGGGGAGUACGGCCGCAAGGUUAAAACUCAAAUGAAUUGACGGGGGCCCGCACAAGCGGUGGAGCAUGUGGUUUAAUUCGAUGCAACGCGAAGAACCUUACCUGGUCUUGACAUCCACGGAAGUUUUCAGAGAUGAGAAUGUGCCUUCGGGAACCGUGAGACAGGUGCUGCAUGGCUGUCGUCAGCUCGUGUUGUGAAAUGUUGGGUUAAGUCCCGCAACGAGCGCAACCCUUAUCCUUUGUUGCCAGCGGUUAGGCCGGGAACUCAAAGGAGACUGCCAGUGAUAAACUGGAGGAAGGUGGGGAUGACGUCAAGUCAUCAUGGCCCUUACGACCAGGGCUACACACGUGCUACAAUGGCGCAUACAAAGAGAAGCGACCUCGCGAGAGCAAGCGGACCUCAUAAAGUGCGUCGUAGUCCGGAUUGGAGUCUGCAACUCGACUCCAUGAAGUCGGAAUCGCUAGUAAUCGUGGAUCAGAAUGCCACGGUGAAUACGUUCCCGGGCCUUGUACACACCGCCCGUCACACCAUGGGAGUGGGUUGCAAAAGAAGUAGGUAGCUUAACCUUCGGGAGGGCGCUUACCACUUUGUGAUUCAUGACUGGGGUGAAGUCGUAACAAGGUAACCGUAGGGGAACCUGCGGUUGGAUCACCU
rnacentral:rRNA from 1 species